CAGAAUUGCACUGUACUUAGACUCCAGACCGGGGCAGCAGUAACACGGAGGCAGGACAGCGCCUAGGUGCACCUGAGUACGGUUGAGGGAAAAUAAAACUCUGCAGUACAACGAAGGCUGAACCACAGGCAGCGAAUCUCACCAAGACGAAAAUGGUCUCUAACAGAAAACGUCCUGAACCCAAACCCGGAGACUUGAUAGAGAUUUUUCGUGGUUCGAAAUUCGCCCCUCCCGCAAUGAGAUAUCAGCACUGGGC